CGUGAAGCUACUGAUUUGUGAAGGAUAUCUUAAAGAUGGUUACUGUGAAUAAGCAUGUUAUUCAGAUUGUCGGAUAGAUCUACUCUGAUUGGCACGUGCUCUGAGUUGCCUUUUGAGAAACUCAAGAAUUGGAACUCUUAGGGAACAGAGUAGUUGAAGAACCUCAAUUUAAAUGAGCAAGAACAUGAAAAUCUUCACAUCAUCUUGCCCUUCAAAUAAUACUUGUGGGAAAUGACACAAUUUGCCUAAAAAUUUACCUCCAAAAAUAUCAUGCAGAUGCCAAGAGCUGGGACACAAAGAAGCAGAAUCAAGAAAAUAACAUGAUGGAUUCUAGGAUUCCAGUUUCCUCUGCUGGAAUUUCAAACGUUUUAGGACAAAUAGCUGCG
ensembl:lncRNA